CAGUAGCCGCGGUAAUACGAAGGGUGCAAGCGUUACUCGGAAUUACCGGGCGUAAAGCGCGUGUAGGUGGUUGUUUAAGUCUGUCGUGAAAGCCCUGGGUUCAACCUGGGAAUUGCGAUGGAUACUGGGCGACUAGAGUGCGGUAGAGGAUAGUGGAAUUUCCGGUGUAGCAGUGAAAUGCGUAGAGAUCGGAAGGAACAUCUGUGGCGAAGGCGACUAUCUGGGCCAACACUGACACUGAGACACGAAAGCGUGGGGAGCAAACAGGAUUAGAUACCCCGGUAGUCCCUGUCUCUUAUAA
rnacentral:rRNA from 1 species